CAAGCAGAAACAUAAGCAUACAUGGCUUGCACGAAGGCAAGCAAUAGCCAAAAGUGAAAGAUUUUAAACUAAAUAUUCAUACAAGUAAUAUGAUUAACUUUUAACCACAUACGUGCAUUCAACAUUUACAUUCAUGUUCUUUUCAUUCAUUCUUUUACAUCACAUGUCAUCCCAAAUUACAUCAUAUUCUUUCAUCCAAAAACUUAAGCUUUUACAUUUAACAUUAUUUAUACUACUAGCAUCA
rnacentral:lncRNA from 1 species